rnacentral:rRNA from 1 species
GAGUUUGAUCCUGGCUCAGGAUGAACGCUGGCGGCGUGCCUAACACAUGCAAGUCGAACGGAGUCGUUUUGGAAAAUCCUUCGGGAUUGGAAUUCUCGACUUAGUGGCGGACGGGUGAGUAACGCGUGAGCAAUCUGCCUUUAAGAGGGGGAUAACAGUCGGAAACGGCUGCUAAUACCGCAUAAAGCAUUGAAUUCGCAUGUUUUCGAUGCCAAAGGAGCAAUCCGCUUUUAGAUGAGCUCGCGUCUGAUUAGCUAGUUGGCGGGGUAACGGCCCACCAAGGCGACGAUCAGUAGCCGGACUGAGAGGUUGAACGGCCACAUUGGGACUGAGACACGGCCCAGACUCCUACGGGAGGCAGCAGUGGGGAAUAUUGCGCAAUGGGGGAAACCCUGACGCAGCAACGCCGCGUGAUUGAAGAAGGCCUU